rnacentral:rRNA from 1 species
GCCUUAGUAGCGGCGAGUGAAGCGGCAAAAGCUCAAAUUUGAAAUCUGGCUCUUUCAGAGUCCGAGUUGUAAUCUUGAAGAAGGUAUCUUUGGGCCUGGCUCUUGUCUAUGUUUCUUGGAACAGAACGUCACAGAGGGUGAGAAUCCCGUGCGAUGAGAUGACCCAGGUCCGUGUAAAGUUCCUUCGACGAGUCGAGUUGUUUGGGAAUGCAGCUCUAAGUGGGUGGUAAAUUCCAUCUAAAGCUAAAUAUUGGCGAGAGACCGAUAGCGAACAAGUACAGUGAUGGAAAGAUGAAAAGAACUUUGAAAAGAGAGUGAAAAAGUACGUGAAAUUGUUGAAAGGGAAGGGCUUGAGAUCAGACUUGGCAUUUUGCAUGUUGCUUCUUCGGGGGCGGCCUCUGCGGUUUGUCGGGCCAGCAUCAGUUUGGGCGGCAGGACAAUUCGCGUGGGAAUGUGGCACGGCCUCGGCUGUGUGUUAUAGCCCGCGUGGAUACUGCCAGCCUAGACUGAGGACUGCGGUUUAUACCUAGGAUGUUGGCAUAAUGAUCUUAAGUCGCCCGUCUUGAAACACGGACCAAGGAGUCUAACGUCUAUGCGAGUGUUUGGGUGUAAAACCCGUACGCGUAAUGAAAGUGAACGUAGGUGGGGGCCCUCUCGGGUGUGCACCAUCGACCGAUCCUGAUGUCUUCGGAUGGAUUUGAG